rnacentral:rRNA from 1 species
AUUGAACGCUGGCGGCAUGCCUUACACAUGCAAGUCGAACGGUAACAGCACUUCGGUGGCUGACGAGUGGCGAACGGGUGAGUAAUACAUCGGAACGUGCCCGAGAGUGGGGGAUAACGCAGCGAAAGCUGUGCUAAUACCGCAUACGAUCUACGGAUGAAAGCAGGGGAUUCGCAAGGACCUUGCGCUCAUGGAGCGGCCGAUGGCAGAUUAGGUAGUUGGUGGGAUAAAAGCUUACCAAGCCGACGAUCUGUAGCUGGUCUGAGAGGACGACCAGCCACACUGGGACUGAGACACGGCCCAGACUCCUACGGGAGGCAGCAGUGGGGAAUUUUGGACAAUGGGCGAAAGCCUGAUCCAGCCAUGCCGCGUGCAGGAUGAAGGCCUCGGUUGUAACUAGCUUUGUAC